rnacentral:snRNA from 1 species
CUGCACUUCUGCAGCAUAAAUGCUAAAACUGGAAUAAUAAAGAGGUUAGCAUGGUUCCUCAUAAGAAAGACAUGAAAAUUUUUCAAGUUUUCCAUAUUGUU